rnacentral:rRNA from 1 species
UUCUUUAAAAUUAAAGGAUUUGGCGGUAUUUUAGUCUGUUCAGAGGAACCUGUUUUUUAAUUGAUAGUCCACGAUGAUUUUUACUUUUGUUUUUAAUUUGUAUAUCGUCGUUUGUAAAAAUUUUAUUAAAUAAUUUUUUCAGAUCAAGGUGUAGUUUAUAUAAAAGUUAAAAUGGGUUACAUUAAAAAUUUUAAUUAAAUUGGAUUUGAUAGUAAGCUCUAAAAUAUGCACAUAUCGCCCGUCGCUUUCAAUUUAAGUUGAAAUAAGUCGUAACAAAGUAGGCUUAUUGGAAAAUGAGCCUAGAAUGCAAAUUAGAGCUUGUUAAGCGUUUUAUUUACACUAAAAAGUUAAUUGUGAAAUUCAAUUUAAUUUGAUUUUAGUUUAUUAUUAUUAUUUUAUUUAAUUUUUUUUUGUUAGAAUAAUAUUUGUUUUUAUUUUAUGUUUGAAAAAAUUUUAUUAUAGUUUAAUUGUACUGUGAAGGAUUUAAUUUAUAUAAUUAAAAGAAGAUUUUAUUUUUCGUACCUUGUGUGUCAGGGUUUAUUUAUUUAUUUUUCCCGAAUUCAGAAGAGCUAUUUUUACUGUAGAAUAAGUAUUUAUAAUAUUUUUAUAGAAAUGAAAUGUUAUUCGUUUCUGAAUAUAUCUGGUUUUUCAAGAAAUUAAUUUAAUUUAUUUGAAUAAUAAUAUAAUUUUCUGGGAUAAGCUUGUUUAUAUAUUUUUAUAAGUUUUUUAUUUUUUAUUUUAUAUAGGAUUAGAAUUUUUCAUUAUUUUAAGUAUGUUAUAAUUUAUUUCUUUAAUUUUAUAUUGAAAGUUAUUUUAUAAUUUUAUAUUUUUAGUUAAAAUGAUAGGAUUAGUAAGGUGAAGUAAAGGAACUCGGCAAAUAAAUUUCCACCUGUUUAUUAAAAACAUGGCUUUUUGUUUAUGAUUUAAGGUCUGGCCUGCCCAAUGAUUAAAUGGCCGCAGUAUUUUGACUGUGCAAAGGUAGCAUAAUCAUUAGUUUUUUAAUUGAAAGCUGGAAUGAAUGGUUUGAUGAGAAAUUGACUGUCUCUAGAAUUUUAUUUUUGAGUUAGAAAGCUUAAAUUUUAUAUAAAGACGAGAAGACCCUAUAGAGUUUUUUUGUUGGGGUGAUAAAUAAAUUUAUUAAACUUUAUUUUUUUUUGUUUUUUUGAUCCCGGAUUAUAAGAUUAAAUUACCUUAGGGAUAACAGCGUAAUUUUUUCUGAAAGUUCUUAUUG